CAAGUUCGCGACCCGCUCGACGGACAACCCCAGGCUGACUAACAUGAUGAGGUAUCACCUCCAGAGAAGUCCCCUCCGGUUGGAGGGGCUCCGCCUCGCUACUAGCUUUCCGGUGCCUUGCAGGAAAUGCCGAACCCCACCCUUCCAUGGAUCCCGUCGUGAUCUACAACAAACAUUGAAACAUAAUACGCACCCCUUACUGCGCCGCGUCUGUUCCCGGAAAAACUACUUGGAGCUGAUUGAAUUGUGCUAUCCGUCCUUUGAGGUCCCCUCCGAACGCCAAGAGAGCCUAGCCACGAAAACCCGUUCGAUGGUACCGAACUAGUAUUAUAUGGCCUGUAUCUCUCUCCCAACAUCCGGCUGGAACAAACCCCCCAGAACUUCCUGCGAAGUUGACCCCUCCAUCACCUCAUCCGAUCGAUUUCAUCCACCUCUCGCCUCCUACCUCCGCACCACCUGAAGUACAUUCUAAGCCCUGGCCCCCAAACCUUUGACGGAGAGGGGGGUCGAUAGUCCACUUCUUAAGCAAUAGUCCGGUGGGGGAGAAACGGCUAACCCGCACCUUAUAUUGACAUAGGCUAGCAUAUGGAGUAACCCUCGUUGAACCAAGGCCCCCCGACCCGCUUUGGCUGAUCGGGGGGUUCCGGGAGCAAAUUCUGGUGGGCGAGUACAGUGGAUCCUAGAUCGAUCGAACAAGGUAACUUCGAAAACAAACUCCCGAAUCUUUCCCAAACAGCUCUUCCAUAGUUUUUCCAGUCCGCAGCAACGACUCAGGUUUGGAUGGGCGAAAUCACGACGGCAGCCACAAAAAAAUGGAUCUCCGACAUCACACAACCCGACACACCUAAGUUUCGCGAGGCUCGGCCCCUCUUCCCCUUCGGAUGUCCCCCUUCGGUACACCACCACAUCAUGCCAUCCAGUCUGGAGCGUCGCCGACUCCCGUUGGCCAAGGUAGGGCCAACACAAGAGUAGCGGACGAACCAGUCAUCUGUCUUACCGGAGAAAGGGAGAGGUAGACUGCCACCACCAAACCCCACCCAAGCACACACCAGGCAGCAAAAAGCCAUCAUCCUAAAAGAUGGUCCCACUUCACAAGACGAGGAGGUUCCCCGUCCUUCAUUCCAACCCCAGGUGAGAACACACACACCCUUCUUUGCGAUGGAUAAAAGGCAAAAAGAGAGGGCAAAAAAGCCAACGGCAAAUUCCAACCAGACCCCCAGAGGCACACACCACAAAAAGUGAAGCCAGAGAGAGCCAGACAAAGAGAAGGAUAGAGAGAGAGGGAGAGUUAGACCCCCCCGGAAGAGAAUCAUAGGUGCUGCGGCCUUUUUCGGGAAUGUGACCAGGAAAGAGAGAAACCGACGAGGCCGAUACACACAUUAAAAAAUGAAAAAGUAACCAUCACCGCGAAGGAUUUUCCUCAAAAGACAAAUCAGCAAGAAGUAUGUCCAAUCCCGGGGGCCCAUCGCCCCUCCAAAUUAAUGGAGGGGUCGGAUAGAAAUUUAUAGAAAUGUUACUUUUGUGAAACCCCUAGCCGACGAGAGAACUCUCACCGGUUUCGAAGUUCCAUUUUCACAUUCCGACCUGGGAUGUUAUGACUCCUCGGCCCACACUGCGAACGCGUCCCACACCCCCUCCAAGUUUAUCAGGAAUUUCACCUGAGCUUGCAAUAGAGAUCGAGCGCGGUGGCGGUCACAGUGGUGGUCGACCAGGCGGAGCUUGAACGGCCUCGGCAAACACUUCUCCCCACCCUCCCAAAUGAAUGAGAGAAUGGCUUGACAAUACCGAGGCCAUCGCCCCCCGCCAAAAAUGGUUACUAGCUCUUGGGACUCGCUGCGACGUUACGCGUAUCGGCACAAGACCAACCCUCUUUUUCCAGUCGCCCGCGCACCAAAAAAAAUUUUGGCAGCGGGACUCACAAUCCUUGACAGCCAGCUCACCAUAUAAUACUCGGCGACCCUCCGCGGGACCUCCUCAGAGGGUCGCGUCGCCGGGAAACUAACCCCCACUCCUCACUGAUCCAAGGUAACACGCCAGAAGUAUCCAGGUAACCCCAGUAGUAUCCAGGUAUCCCCCCUGCGAACGUCGGUACUGGGCUCAAAGAAGGCAGCGAGCAGUCGGGACCCGUAGGCACCGAGCAACCGUCACCCCCUCACGACUUUUCCCGAGACGCUUCAGAGGACCCUUCCCCCACAUAGUACUCUCUGUGGGAUUCGGCAGGCCCCCCCGUCCUACUGCACUAAGGAAGUUCCGAGACACACUUUUUUUUGUGGAAGACCACCCACCCUCCCUGUCCUGCCUGCUAUCCCCGCCGCGACUCCUGGUCCCGGCCCUCCUCCCCGACUUCCUCCUUGUCCCGCUGCGAGUCCCGGACCUCCUCCCCCACUACCUACUCCCGCCGCGAGUCCCAGUCCCGGCCUUCCUCCUCCUCCUCCUCUUCCCUAGUCCCGGCGCGAGUCCCGGACCUCCUCCCCCACUUCCUAGUCCCGUCGCGAGUCCC
rnacentral:lncRNA from 1 species